GCAGUUUGCUGGAGGUAUCGCAAGUGAAGGCUGUGGAACAGCAAAGAUGGCAGCCAGCUUCUUCCUCUGGAAGCUUCUUCUCAGGGUCUGUAGGAUGGACCCAUCAGCUCGUCCCCCAUGUGAGGAAUGCUGCAAUGGAUCACGGCAGAACAUUGGAAAAUGAAGGUGAAGGGACUGCACGAUGAACCUACAUGUACCAGCUAGACAAACAGAGGAGCAAGCCACAUGAAGCCUUAAAACGUGAACCUUCACUGAUCCGAUAGAGCAUGCAUAUGAACACAAACAGAAGCUGACACUUGCUAAAAGAAACACUCAUCUACCCACUUUCUAGUGGGGAGCCCAUUUGAGAAACCCUUUC